CUCUGGUCACUGGCUGCUUUUCACUGUAGCAUCAGGGUUGCUCUGACUCUGGGAGCCAGCCCUGGAGGAGCCUGAAUUUGGGGAAUGCCAAGGAUUUUUCCUGACCUGCUACUUGGGCAGAUAAACUGUGACAGAAGAGUUCCAUUAUGGAAACUGCCAAUUUCUCUGCCAAAGUCUUGGCUCAGAAGAUUCACUGUUGAUCCCCGUGAAAAACAGGUGAUUGGAUUUUACUCUCAUUAUCUUGCCUCUGGUUGUGUUGCUUUAAAAAUAUGAUUCUGGCAAAGAAGAAAGGAGAAAGGAUGGAGUUUAAAACUACCCUGAAGCAUCAGAAAUCAGAAAGAGACUACUUGGGCAGGAAAAUGGCCAAUAUCUGCCUCUGGAGCAGUUGAUGCUGGCCAGUGUCAGAACCCAGAGGCUGAAGCAGGAGGGCUUUGGAUCUCAUCGGGUUCUUUCUGGUAAAAGAAUUAUCAGAGGGAUAAAGACCUAAACCCAACCCCAAGAUAUCUGGGUAAAUAAAACUCAGAGUGGAAAGAGUUCAGACUGGAGGAGAAGCCAGAGAAGGAAAACAAGAUUGGUGGGGAGAAGGGAUUUGGGGAGGACAGCUUUUCAUUACCUGUUCAUGUGGAAAAAAACCCCAAAUGGACAAAUUAAUGGCAAGAAAAGGAAACAGCUGGAAAUGCAUGUGAGUCUUCUUUAGUUUGUUGGCAAAACAAGAACUGCCUGAGACUUUUGAUAACAUUCACUGCAGACAAGAAAGUUGCAAAGUACUAGAAAAAGCUAAUGAUAUGCUAAUUUUUAGAAACUUUAAUAGGUUUAACCCAAGAAACUUUAAACUGGAUCAUUUGAUGUGAAUUCCAGGAAGAUUCCCAGAAAACCUUUUGCCUCACCUUGAAUAAGGCAAAAAAUAAAACGUGGUUGUGUAGUGCUGUCUCAUCCAACAUUCCCUCCAGGCAGACUACGUAUUCUCCAACUUCAUGGCUCUUAAUAAAGCAAGAAGUCGCUGUUGAUGUGAUUUACUCUGAUUUCUGAGAGGUAUUUGAAAGGUCCUCUGGGCCCCUUGGAUAUAAGUAAAACCAGUACAAAGGCAGCAAACCCACAAAGGUGGGCUAAAAAUUAUCCUUGUAAUAUGGAAGUUCUUGGAAUAUGGGAGUGAAUGCAGGUAGUAAGGCUAUUAACAUCAGGUUUCUCCAGAAAUCUGCCCUUGGUUCAGUCCGUUAAGUAUCUUCAGAGCUAAUAACAACAAAUCCCAGGUAAGGACACACCCAUGAAUAAACAGAAAAAAGAACUGGCUGUGACACAGCCUCGCCUCGAUCUCUUGAGGAGCAGCAUUCAUCUGAACAACAUGGAUGCCAGGGCACACAUCCAGGGACAAAGGCAGGAGUUCUCACUGAAAAGACAGGUGUCUUGGGUUAUGUAACUAAAAAAACCAGUGUAUUCUAUUUCAUCUGUAGAAAGCAGUUGGGGGAUGGUUUCUUUUUUCUUUAUCUCUUGUAACUCCAGGGGGGAGGAGGGUGGAUGCCUUCUGAUAACAGCCCAGCUGUUAAACCAGGUGGGGCAGUGUUUCUUAUCUCUUUCACCACUGUCCGCCCUCUGGAGUGGAUAUCUUCUGUUCAUGGGCCAUUGAGGCUCACCAGUGACUGACACAUUACAUCAUCCAUGGGAGAUGCUCCACCCUGAGGGAAGAGCCCAGCAUUCCUACCCAGAGAAAAAUGGGGACACAGGAACCCCAGACAUUGCUCUUUUCCACUAUAUUCUCAGAGACCAGACUCAUCACCACUGAACCUGUCUGCAGGAUCAUCUCUACUCCAACAGAACCACAUCUGUCACUCCAGGAGGACUUUAUUGGACUGCUUCCAACACCCUGGCAACAGGGUGUCAGGUGUCGUAUUCCUGACUCCAUCAGGGUUUUCUUGGACUUUUGUUUGUUUCCUUGCUUGUUUUUUUUGUGUGUGGUUUUGUUGUUGUUGUUGUUUUUUGGUGGGCUUUUUUGUUGGUUUUUUUUUGGGGGGGGUUUUUGGGUUUUUUUGGGGGGGUUUUUUUGGUGGGUUUUUUUGGUAUUACCGCAUUUGUAUUUUUAAUAUUCCUAGUAAAGAACUGUUAUUUCUAUUCCCAUAUUUUUCCUGAAAGCUCCUAAUUGCAAAAUUGUAAUAAUUUGGAGAGCAGGGGUUUUACAUUCUCCCUUCCAAGGGAAAUUCCAGCUUUCCCUGACAGAUACCUGUCUUUCCAAACCAAGACAACAGGGCAGCGCAUUCCCAAGGCAGCAUCUCUGGGAAGGAGGCAGAGGCAGGAGCAGGUAAUCAAUCAGGCAUGAGCUGUGGUGCAGAGGCAUUGCUAAACAGCAAUGAAAGCAGGAGGCAGGGGGCAGGAGUUGUGAUUAUUAGCGAGAUCACCCCGGGAAUGCCAUCUGCUCCAACGUCAACGCCUCGACAAAGGGAUGUUGACAACCUGGAGGUGAUGAACCGUGCGAGCUCUGCGCAACACGCCGCAGCAGAGGGGAAGGUGCAGCUCUAAAAUAUUGGUCAAGACAAUAAAAAAUGCAGCAUUUGGGGUAUUAAAUGCUUCAGUCUGUCAAAAACUGGUGAUGUCAAAUGAUUUGAAGUUUCAAAGGUACAGAAUUCCUGCGGCUGCUGUGGGCACAAAUCAGAUUUGCAGGUGCUAUGUGCCUCUGUGAGCAUUUCUGCUUAGGAGCUUGGACAUGAAGCCAGGAACAUGAAUUUUAUUGACUGGCUCUGAAAUUCUUGUUUGGGAUCAGGGAAUAUUGGCAGCAAGCUGGUUUUGUCACACACCUUGAAGCCAUCUCAGAAGAAUUUCCGUGUUUUUCAGCUAAAGGCACGUGGGAUCCUGCGAGUCAUCCUUGCCUUAGCUGUGUGCACCUUUACAGAGAAGAACUGAUCUGCUUGCUCAAAAAGCCAAGCAUCAGCUCCAGCAGAGCAGUCUGCUUCCUAUGCCAGGCUUCCAAGCUAAUCUGAAUCCUGGUAUUGCAGCCUUUCCUUUCCUCUCUGCCCUGCUAAAGUCUGGAGUUUUCAUCCCAAUAUUCCUAAUUUUGGGGAAAUGCUUCUAUGGCUGAGGGUCCCAAGUUGACACCUUCAGUAUAUACUUUGUCAGGAUAUUAACUCCUUAUUAUGGCAGAAUAACUGUGUUUCCUUCCCUCCUAGCACUAAGCAACCAGACAAGGGAAAAUGUCAAGUUUUUGGCCGUAUUUGACACAGCCUUCUGAUUUUUUUCCUUCAGAUACAUUUAGCAGCAUCUAUUCAAGGAGCUGUGCAGAAAUACUGUGAGUACUUUGGCAUGUUCUCUGGCAAUCCCAAACACUGCUCUUUGAGGGAAAGGCACCACAGAAAUAUUUCAGGUACCGUGCUGCCCAUGAAUCAUGCAAAAUGCUCUCGCUCCAGUGAGGGUUUCUUUUGAACAGUGGGAUUUUUUUCCUGCAAUCUUGGACUUUUAAGCGUUUUUCAGGGUUCCUGGUCAUGGAGGGUCUGUUCUUAAAAUAAUAUCUGGCAGCAGAAGCGCUCCCUGCAGCUGGUGCACAGGGCAGGGGUUGUAAGAAUGGCAAGCACCAAAGACAGCAGAGAAGUCUUUUAUUCAGCUGCUUUUUCACUCGUGUCAGGGGUUGUCGUGCACGAGGGAAUUAAGCCACACGAAGCAGAAGAGGACAUGUCACCCACUGGGGCCACUACAGUGCCACAUCUGAUGCCUGAAUGUCCCCCCUGUUGGGGCACACUGAGGAAAGACAACAAAGAUGUAGGAAGAUUGCUAAUGAACCACUUGAAGAGAAUUGCUAAUGAAAAAAUGAAUCUUUGGUGGCAGAUCUGUAAAAAGGGGAAUAGAAGUCAUAGCAGACCAAAAAUAAGUGAUCCCAGCUUAGACAGUUUUUUUUUUUUCUUAAUAAAAUGAUUUUUGUGAGAAAACAACUUGUUUUCCUGCUGUUUUUAAUUUCCUUCGAGGAGUUGUAGGUUUUUUCCUAGGACUCAAAUUAUGGGCAAGUCUUUUCUGCAAAUCUUCCCAUUUUCAGCCCUGAAAUCUUUCCUUGUUGAGCAAGGAGAGAGAACAUGGGAUGAAAAGAAACCCAACUUGCCCAAAAGUUCCUGGAUGUCAAAUUGCA